CCUACGGGAGGCAGCAGUGAGGAAUAUUGGUCAAUGGACGAGAGUCUGAACCAGCCAAGUAGCGUGAAGGAUGACUGCCCUAUGGGUUGUAAACUUCUUUUAUAUGGGAAUAAAACAGGGUAUGCAUACCCUCUUGUAUGUACCAUAUGAAUAAGGAUCGGCUAACUCCGUGCCAGCAGCCGCGGUAAUACGGAGGAUCCGAGCGUUAUCCGGAUUUAUUGGGUUUAAAGGGAGCGUAGGGGGAUUGUUAAGUCAGUUGUGAAAGUUUGCGGCUCAACCGUAAAAUUGCAGUUGAAACUGGCAGUCUUGAGUGCGGUAGAGGUGGGCGGAAUGCGUGGUGUAGCGGUGAAAUGCUUAGAUAUCACGAAGAACUCCGAUUGCGAAGGCAGCUCACUGGACUGCAACUGACACUGAUGCUCGAAAGUGUGGGUAUCGAACAGGAUUAGAUACCCCUGUAGUC
rnacentral:rRNA from 1 species